GUACUAAAUCCACAGAUAGAUUUUCUUCAUCAUACUUUAUAGAUCAAAUUCUGUAUUUAUUUGUCUACUUGCUCAUUAUUUGGUUUGGCUGUGUCCCCACAAAAAUCUCAUCUUGAAUUGUAGUUCCCAUAAUGCCCACAUGUCGUGGGAGGAAUCCUGUGGAGGUAAUUUAAUCAUGGGUGUUUUUACCCUCAUGCUGUUCUCAUGAUAGUGAGUGAGUUCUUAUGAGAUCUGAUGGUUUUAUAAGGAGCUUUUUUCCCCUUUUGCUUGGCACAUCUCCUUCCUGCCAGCAUGUGAAGAAGAGGGUGUUUGCUUCCCCUUCUGCCAUGAUUAGAAGUUCCUGUGGCCUCCCCAGCCAUGCUGAACUGUGAGUCAAAUCAACUUCUUUCCUUCCAUCAGCCAUUUUCAUUUCACGUGGGAAGAACAAUAUGAGACAAACAACCUAAGAUUAAAUGAAACCAGUUGGAUUGGAGAGAUGCAUUUACAUUUUACCACCUGGAUAAGUGUAUUUUCCUCUUGUGGCUUUAUAGGCUUGGGGGCUAUUGAAAAAUAUCUGUCUAUAAAUUGAAUCAACACUCAUUAAACUCAUUAAGAGAAAUGUAGUUAGGAAUUUAGUAUGGAAAGCAAGCCCUUCGUUUUUAUUGGAUUUUACAAUAGGGAGCACUCUAAGCUUUUAGACAUUAAGGCAGGAAGGGGCUAACUAUAGAAAUUACUCCAGUGUGGGCUUCGACUUUGGAGAGGCUAUGCUUCUCUAGAGAGAAUGUAUGCACAGCAGAAGAGUAAGAUGAGGCAGAUAUUUUAUUUCCUACACAUCCCAAAAUAAUAACCCUACUCUGAUUUAUCUUACCAUUACCCCAUUUUUUCUCCCCCUCAUCCACAACAGUUCUCUAACUCCUGCCUGGUUUUCCUUUAGUUUCAUAACUCUUCACAGAUGACUUUUGAAAAUAUUUCACUCUCUGCAGCCUGAUGAUGACGACGAAUAUUUUGCUGUAUGUUCAGAAACAAUAAAUUAUUAUAUAAUUAUCACUGUGCACAAGACAGAAGAAACCUAUCUCUUGAAAACAACACUUAAAAUAUUCACAUAAAAUGCAAAUUAACUGUCUUUUCAUAAGAGAAUUAUCUUUCUGUCCUGUAAAGUUCUUCCAGGAUAAAGAAUUUCCACUUCCAAAGUUUAUUUCCAAUGGUUUCAACUUAGCAAACAUGUAAACAUGUCCCAGGCUCCAGGAGCUAUGCUAGGUACUAUACAUAGUAUACAAGAGGGAAAGAGAGAAGGCAACUGCCAAUCUCUUUCUGGGAACUUUAUACCUUACCUUACUGAGGUACCAUUUACUAUGGAUUAAACAGAGUUAAAGAAGAUAACUAAUUUUUACAAGACAGUGACCUACCAUUUGAAUCUGAAUUUUCAAAAAUCCAUGAUAUUUUCCACUAUCCUAAAGUUUGAGACAACUCAGAAGGAAAUAAACAUUUGUACUAGGAUAAGUCAAAAUUCUAUUUAUCAGAAGUAAUCUUAGAAAGAGAGACUACUAUAUUAAUUUGGAAUUAAUUAUUUGAUAAGCCCACCCACACCCCAUACUAUUUCUGAUGGUUCUUUUGGUUUUUGAUAAGAUGGCAAGGGUGUAAAUGACAAGAAAAAAAAUGUGUUGUUCCUGGGAAGGAAAGGGGAAGAGGGUGAGCAAAAAACUUCUAAACCCUUUAGACUCCCCAGUGCAUUCAAGUUGGGCAUCUGUGAAAACACCUGAAAAACUUGAGCUUCAAGUCAUGACCAACCUGGAGGUAAAACAGACUCAGUUCAAGUGGAUCUGGGAAUUGAAGGGGCGGCUUAGAUUCUGCUGAAGUGUGAAUUAAUGUUACAUUUGAUUGAUUCUUUUUUUUUUUUUUUUUUUUUUUACUUUGGGAUAUUUUAAACUUCUUUUUUUUUUUUAAUUAUACUUUAAGUUUUAGGGUACAUGUGCACAUUGUGCAGGUUAGUUACAUAUGUAUACAUGUGCCAUGCUGGUGCACUGCACCCACUAACUCGUCAUCUAGCAUUAGGUAUGUCUCCCGAUGCUAUCCCUCCUCCCUGCCCCCACCCCACAACAGUCCCCAGAGUGUGAUAUUCCCCUUCCUGUGUCCAUGUGACCUCAUUGUUCAAUUCCCACCUAUGAGUGAGAAUAUGUGGUGUUUGGUUUUUUGUCCUUGUGAUAGUUUACUGAGAAUGAUGAUUUCCAGUUUCAUCCAUGUCCCUACAAAGGACAGGAACUCAUCAUUUUUUAUGGCUGCAUAGUAUUCCAUGGUAUAUAUGUGCCACAUUUUCUUAAUCCAGUCUAUCAUUGUUGGACAUUUGGGUUGGUUCCAAGUCUUUGCUAUUGUGAAUUAGUGCCACAAUAAACAUACUUGUGCAUGUGUCUUUAUAGCAGCAUGAUUUAUAGUCCUUUG
rnacentral:lncRNA from 1 species